rnacentral:rRNA from 1 species
GACGAUCAGAUACCGUCGUAGUCUUAACUAUAAAUGAUGCUAACCAGGGAUAGGACACUGUCCAUCUCGACUCCUCCUGCACCUUAGAGAAAUUACAGUCUCUGAGUUCUGGGGGGAGUAUGGUCGCAAGGCUGAAACUUAAAGGAAUUGACGGAAGGGCACACAAAGAGUGGAACCUGCGGCUUAAUUUGACUCAACACGGGAAAACUCACCAGGUCCAGAUACACGCAUGAAAGUCAAGCUGAAAGACUUUACUCAAUGAUGUAAGUGGUGGUGCAUGGUCGUUCUUAGUUCGUGGAUUGAUUUGUCUGGUCGAUUCCGAUAACGAGCGAGACCCCGGUGUUCCUAAUAGGGGCGGAAGCCCGCUGGCCGCAAGGUCAGCAGCUACCGCCUAAGAUGUACUUCUUAGACACAUCAGGGCCGAUAAGGUCCUUGAAAUGGGUUAAUAACAGGUCAGUCAUGCCCUUAGAUGUUCUGGGCCGCACGCGCGUUACAAUGGCACGUA